AUUGAACGCUGGCGGCAGGCUUAACACAUGCAAGUCGAGCGGAGAUGAGGUGCUUGCACCUUAUCUUAGCGGCGGACGGGUGAGUAAUGCUUAGGAAUCUGCCUAUUAGUGGGGGACAACAUUCCGAAAGGAAUGCUAAUACCGCAUACGUCCUACGGGAGAAAGCAGGGGAUCUUCGGACCUUGCGCUAAUAGAUGAGCCUAAGUCGGAUUAGCUAGUUGGUGGGGUAAAGGCCUACCAAGGCGACGAUCUGUAGCGGGUCUGAGAGGAUGAUCCGCCACACGGGGACUGAGACACGGCCCAGACUCCUACGGGAGGCAGCAGUGGGGAAUAUUGGACAAUGGGGGGAACCCUGAACCAGCCAUGCCGCGUGUGUGAAGAAGGCCUUAUGGUUGUAAAGCACUUUAAGCGAGGAGGAGGCUACUGAGACUAAUACUCUUGGAUAGUGGACGUUACUCGCAGAAUAAGCACCGGCUAACUCUGUGCCAGCCGCCGCAGUAACAC
rnacentral:rRNA from 1 species